rnacentral:rRNA from 1 species
GGCUUAGAGUUUGAUCAUGGCUCAGGACGAACGCUGGCGGCGUGCUUAACACAUGCAAGUCGAACGGGGUGUUUAUUUCGGUAAACACCAAGUGGCGAACGGGUGAGUAACGCGUAAGCAAUCUACCUUCAAGAUGGGGACAACACUUCGAAAGGGGUGCUAAUACCGAAUGAAUGAGAGAUGACCGCAUGGAUAUUUCUCUAAAGGAGGCCUCUGAAAAUGCUUCCGCUUGAAGAUGAGCUUGCGUCUGAUUAGCUAGUUGGUGAGGGUAAAGGCCCACCAAGGCGACGAUCAGUAGCCGGUCUGAGAGGAUGAACGGCCACAUUGGGACUGAGACACGGCCCAGACUCCUACGGGAGGCAGCAGUGGGGAAUCUUCCGCAAUGGGCGAAAGCCUGACGGAGCAACGCCGCGUGAACGAAGAAGGUCUUAGGAUCGUAAAGUUCUGUUGUUAGGGGCGAAGGGCAACAUUUUGAAUAAGGGUGUUGUUUGACGGUACUUAACGAGGAAGCCACGGCUAACUACGUGCCAGCAGCCGCGGUAAUACGUAGGCGGCAAGCGUUGUCCGGAAUUAUUGGGCGUAAAGGGAGCGCAGGCGGGAAGUUAAGCGGACUUUAAAAGUGCGGGGCUCAACCCCGUGAGGGGGUCCGAACUGAUUUUCUUGAGUGCAGGAGAGGGAAGCGGAAUUCCUAGUGUAGCGGUGAAAUGCGUAGAUAUUAGGAAGAACACCAGUGGCGAAAGCGGCUUUCUGGACUGUAACUGACGCUGAGGCUCGAAAGCUAGGGUAGCGAACGGGAUUAGAUACCUCGGUAGUCCUAGCCGUAAACGAUGGAUACUAGUGUGGAGGUAUCGACCUCUUUCGUGCCGG